AACGAACGCUGGCGGCAGGCUUAACACAUGCAAGUCGAACGCAUCCUUCGGGGUGAGCGGCAGACGGGUGAGUAACGCGUGGGAACGUGCCCUGCAGUUCGGGAUAACCCAGGGAAAAUUGGGCUAAUACCGGAUACGUGCGAGAGCAGAAAGAUUUAUAGCUGAAGGAUCGGCCCGCGUCUGAUGAGCUAGUAGGUGGGGUAAUGGCCCACCAAGGCGACGAUCAGUAGCUGGUCUGAGAGGAUGAUCAGUCACAUUGGGACUGAGACACGGCCCAAACGCCUACGGGAGGCAGCGGUGGGGAAUAUUGGACAAUGGGCGCAAGCCUGAUCCAGCCAUGCCGCGUGAGUGAUGAAGGCCUUAGGGUUGUAAAGCUCUUUCGUCCGGGACGAUAAUGACGGUACCGGAAGAAGAAGCCCCGGCUAACUUCGUGCCAGCAGCCGCGGUAA
rnacentral:rRNA from 1 species